rnacentral:rRNA from 1 species
CGCAGCUACCCAUGCAGUCGAGCGGUAGCACAGGGGAGCUUGCUCCCUGGGUGACGAGCGGCGGACGGGUGAGUAAUGUCUGGGAAACUGCCUGAUGGAGGGGGAUAACUACUGGAAACGGUAGCUAAUACCGCAUAACGUCGCAAGACCAAAGAGGGGGACCUUCGGGCCUCUUGCCAUCAGAUGUGCCCAGAUGGGAUUAGCUAGUAGGUGGGGUAAUGGCUCACCUAGGCGACGAUCCCUAGCUGGUCUGAGAGGAUGACCAGCCACACUGGAACUGAGACACGGUCCAGACUCCUACGGGAGGCAGCAGUGGGGAAUAUUGCACAAUGGGCGCAAGCCUGAUGCAGCCAUGCCGCGUGUGUGAAGAAGGCCUU